GAUGAACGCUGGCGGCGUGCUUAACACAUGCAAGUCGAACGAGAAAUGGAGACGGACACCUUCGGGCGGAAGGCUUCAUUUCGAGUGGCGGACGGGUGAGUAACGCGUGGGUAACCUGCCUCAUACAGGGGGAUAACAGUUGGAAACGACUGUUAAUACCGCAUAAGACCACAGCACCGCAUGGUGCGGGGGUAAAAACUCCGGUGGUAUGAGAUGGACCCGCGUUCGAUUAGCCAGUUGGCGGGGUAACGGCCCACCAAAGCGACGAUCGAUAGCCGAUCUGAGAGGAUGACCGGCCACAGUGGGACUGAGACACGGCCCAAACUCCUACGGGAGGCAGCAGUGGGGAAUAUUGCACAAUGGGGGAAACCCUGAUGCAGCGACGCCGCGUGAGUGAAGAAGUACUUCGGUAUGUAAAGCUCUAUCAGCAGGGAAGAAAAUGACGGUACCUGAGUAAGAAGCCCCGGCUAACUACGUG
rnacentral:rRNA from 1 species